rnacentral:lncRNA from 1 species
AUGUAUUACUAUAUGAAGAUUGGGUUGUAACAUAAGCAACCACCAAUGUUCAUUACAAGACUCGACAAUAUAUAAGUACUCCAAAUUACAAAAGAAAAGAGACAACAUAUAUAUAUAUAUAUAUAUAUAUAUAUAUAUAUAAUGAUGGAUCAAACUCGAUAGAUAAAUCCAUCUUAUUCUUCAUCUCCACAAGCCAGAUUUAGCUUUCAUCAACCUUACUGGACCCUG